rnacentral:rRNA from 1 species
CCUACGGGAGGCAGCAGUGGGGAAUAUUGGACAAUGGGGGAAACCCUGAUCCAGCAAUGCCGCGUGGGUGAUGAAGGCCUUCGGGUUGUAAAGCCCUUUCGGCGGGGACGAUGAUGACGGUACCCGCAGAAGAAGCCCCGGCUAACUUCGUGCCAGCAGCCGCGGUAAU